CUAAAACCAAUGAACAACUGCAGAGAGUGGAGACCCGGCAAAGCAAACAAAUGAAUACUACUAGGGCUCACCGUCCAUUGCGGAGGUGAAGACCAGAUGAGAGCUGCUGGAUUGACCUUGAUGUGCCAUGUCCUUGUGUGGAUGAAGGACCUACAUCUCAGGGAUGGCCAGCAGCAGAUGUAACACAUGUGUCCAGGAAUGGGCUAAAUAACCUACAUUGAGAGAUCUCAGCCGCUCAGCAGAAUGCGGGAGAGCCGAGUGCUGAUGGGCUAGAGGGUCCCAGGAGUGGUUGUGCAGCAGAGGCAGUGUCUGCAGUCACCAUGGGCCACACCCUGCGCUCCAGACAACCCAGGCUGAUUCCCUGGAUUGCAAAGGGGACUUUAGCUUGUGGAAUUGGUGCUGGUGCCUGUGUCAACAACUGGGAUGUUUUCAUGAGGCUACUCCAUGGUCCAUGAAGCGCCAUGCAAGCAAGGGGAGAAUAGACAUUAGAGAGCGAGGCCGGUGCCUUUGCAGGGCUGCUGCAGUUGAACAUCCACAGCCAGAAGAGAGACGAUGGGAAACUCGCUUCAAUGGCUGGCCACAGCCACAGCAGCUGUCUCAUAAAGCUCUGCUCAUGCUCCAGCCAACAGAGGCAGGACGAAGAGCCACACUGGGAGAGCCUGAUUUGCAAUUAGCAAGACGUGGUUUUUUCAGUGGAUUAUGCUGCCCUGACCGUCUAUUUCCUGCAAUGUGCACAUCCAGCCUUCCUGGCUGACCUCAGUGGGAGCUAGGUUC